UACGUAGGGGGCUAGCGUUGUCCGGAUUUAUUGGGCGUAAAGAGCGUGUAGGCGGCCAGGUAGGUCUGCUGUGAAAACUCGAGGCUCAACCUCGAGACGUCGGCGGAAACCAUCUGGCUAGAGUCCGGAGAGGAGAGUGGAAUUCCUGUGUAGCGGUGAAAUGCGCAGAUAUCAGGAAGAACACCCGUGGCGAAGGCGGCUCUCUGGGACGGUACUGACGCUGAGACGCGAAAGCGUGGGAGCGAACAGG
rnacentral:rRNA from 1 species